AGCAUAUUAUUAAGGGGAGGAAAAGAAACUAACAAGGAUUCCCCUAGUAACGGCGAGUGAAGCGGGAAGAGCUCAAAUUUAAAAUCCACUGGUCUAACAGCCUGUGGAGUUGUAAUCUAGAGAGGCUCUCUCAGUGCCAGCCUGGUUAUAAGUCCCUUGAAACGGGGCAUCAAAGAGGGUGAGAAUCCCGUAUUUGAGCCGGAGCUAAGUACGUACGAGGAGUUUUCUAAGAGUCGCGUUGCUUGGGAGUGCAGCGCUAAAUGGGUGGUAAAGUUCAUCUAAAGCUAAAUACUGGCGAGAGACCGAUAGCGAACAAGUACCGUGAGGGAAAGAUGAAAAGAACUUUGAAAAGAGAGUUAAAAAGUACUUGAAAUUGUUAACAGGGAAGGGGAGUCAACCAGUCAUUUCUAUGUCUCAUUCGCCUUUCCUUCGGGAGGGGUUACUUGAGGCGAAGAAGAGUCAGCAUCUCUUAGUUGUCUUCGCAGAAACUGUGUGAGUUGGUGCGUUUCUUCGGAUUCGUUUAACUUGUGCAGCCUACGUUGAUGCUGGGAGAGGAGUGAUAACCCCCCACCUUCGGGUGUCGGUACUCUGAGGUCUGUUUGCCCUAGCGCGUGAGAGAACAAAGUUCUGUCUGUGCGAAAGGUGAAUACUGCUUUGGAUGUGCCAGAUGGUGGGUUCGCGAUGCAGACGAAAUGGUUGUCUUCCACCCGUCU
rnacentral:rRNA from 1 species